AUUGAACGCUGGCGGCAUGCCUUACACAUGCAAGUCGAACGGCAGCACGGGGGCAACCCUGGUGGCGAGUGGCGAACGGGUGAGUAAUAUAUCGGAACGUACCCUAGAGUGGGGGAUAACGUAGCGAAAGUUACGCUAAUACCGCAUACGAUCUACGGAUGAAAGUGGGGGCUCGCAAGACCUCAUGCUCGUGGAGCGGCCGAUAUCUGAUUAGCUAGUUGGUGAGGUAAAGGCUCACCAAGGCGACGAUCAGUAGCUGGUCUGAGAGGACGACCAGCCACACUGGGACUGAGACACGGCCCAGACUCCUACGGGAGGCAGCAGUGGGGAAUUUUGGACAAUGGGGGCAACCCUGAUCCAGCAAUGCCGCGUGAGUGAAGAAGGCCUUCGGGUUGUAAAGCUCUUUUGUCAGGGAAGAAACGGUGAAGGCUAAUAUCCUUUGCUAAUGACGGUACCUGAAGAAUAAGCACCGG
rnacentral:rRNA from 1 species